rnacentral:misc_RNA from 1 species
AAGUCGUAACAAGGUUUCCGUAGGUGAACCUGCGGAAGGAUCAUUAUUGAAUAAACUUGAUCAGGUUGUUGCUGGCUCCCCUGAGCAUGUGCACACUUGUCAUCUUUACUUUUCCCCCAAUGUGCACAUAUUGUAGGCCUGGAACUCUUUUGAUUAUCUUGUAUAGAUUGAGGACUGCUGUGCUUCAGCCUGCUUUUCCUUGUGUUUUCAGGUCUAUGUUUACCUUCACAACCUCUGAAUAUGUUUAGAAUGUUGAAAUAUAAUAUAUAUAUACAA